rnacentral:rRNA from 1 species
UUAAGCGACUAAGCGUACACGGUGGAUGCCCUGGCAGUCAGAGGCGAUGAAGGACGUGCUAAUCUGCGAUAAGCGUCGGUAAGGUGAUAUGAACCGUUAUAACCGGCGAUUUCCGAAUGGGGAAACCCAGUGUGUUUCGACACACUAUCAUUAACUGAAUCCAUAGGUUAAUGAGGCGAACCGGGGGAACUGAAACAUCUAAGUACCCCGAGGAAAAGAAAUCAACCGAGAUUCCCCCAGUAGCGGCGAGCGAACGGGGAGCAGCCCAGAGCCUGAAUCAGUGUGUGUGUUAGUGGAAGCGUCUGGAAAGGCGCGCGAUACAGGGUGACAGCCCCGUACACAAAAAUGCACAUACUGUGAGCUCGAUGAGUAGGGCGGGACACGUGGUAUCCUGUCUGAAUAUGGGGGGACCAUCCUCCAAGGCUAAAUACUCCUGACUGACCGAUAGUGAACCAGUACCGUGAGGGAAAGGCGAAAAGAACCCCGGCGAGGGGAGUGAAAAAGAACCUGAAACCGUGUACGUACAAGCAGUGGGAGCACGCUUAGGCGUGUGACUGCGUACCUUUUGUAUAAUGGGUCAGCGACUUAUAUUCUGUAGCAAGGUUAACCGAAUAGGGGAGCCGAAGGGAAACCGAGUCUUAACUGGGCGUUAAGUUGCAGGGUAUAGACCCGAAACCCGGUGAUCUAGCCAUGGGCAGGUUGAAGGUUGGGUAACACUAACUGGAGGACCGAACCGACUAAUGUUGAAAAAUUAGCGGAUGACUUGUGGCUGGGGGUGAAAGGCCAAUCAAACCGGGAGAUAGCUGGUUCUCCCCGAAAGCUAUUUAGGUAGCGCCUCGUGAAUUCAUCUCCGGGGGUAGAGCACUGUUUCGGCAAGGGGGUCAUCCCGACUUACCAACCCGAUGCAAACUGCGAAUACCGGAGAAUGUUAUCACGGGAGACACACGGCGGGUGCUAACGUCCGUCGUGAAGAGGGAAACAACCCAGACCGCCAGCUAAGGUCCCAAAGUCAUGGUUAAGUGGGAAACGAUGUGGGAAGGCCAAGACAGCCAGGAUGUUGGCUUAGAAGCAGCCAUCAUUUAAAGAAAGCGUAAUAGCUCACUGGUCGAGUCGGCCUGCGCGGAAGAUGUAACGGGGCUAAACCAUGCACCGAAGCUGCGGCAGCGACGCUUAUGCGUUGUUGGGUAGGGGAGCGUUCUGUAAGCCUGUGAAGGUGUACUGUGAGGUAUGCUGGAGGUAUCAGAAGUGCGAAUGCUGACAUAAGUAACGAUAAAGCGGGUGAAAAGCCCGCUCGCCGGAAGACCAAGGGUUCCUGUCCAACGUUAAUCGGGGCAGGGUGAGUCGACCCCUAAGGCGAGGCCGAAAGGCGUAGUCGAUGGGAAACAGGUUAAUAUUCCUGUACUUGGUGUUACUGCGAAGGGGGGACGGAGAAGGCUAUGUUGGCCGGGCGACGGUUGUCCCGGUUUAAGCGUGUAGGCUGGUUUUCCAGGCAAAUCCGGAAAAUCAAGGCUGAGGCGUGAUGACGAGGCACUACGGUGCUGAAGCAACAAAUGCCCUGCUUCCAGGAAAAGCCUCUAAGCAUCAGGUAACAUCAAAUCGUACCCCAAACCGACACAGGUGGUCAGGUAGAGAAUACCAAGGCGCUUGAGAGAACUCGGGUGAAGGAACUAGGCAAAAUGGUGCCGUAACUUCGGGAGAAGGCACGCUGAUAUGUAGGUGAAGUCCCUCGCGGAUGGAGCUGAAAUCAGUCGAAGAUACCAGCUGGCUGCAACUGUUUAUUAAAAACACAGCACUGUGCAAACACGAAAGUGGACGUAUACGGUGUGACGCCUGCCCGGUGCCGGAAGGUUAAUUGAUGGGGUCAGCGCAAGCGAAGCUCUUGAUCGAAGCCCCGGUAAACGGCGGCCGUAACUAUAACGGUCCUAAGGUAGCGAAAUUCCUUGUCGGGUAAGUUCCGACCUGCACGAAUGGCGUAAUGAUGGCCAGGCUGUCUCCACCCGAGACUCAGUGAAAUUGAACUCGCUGUGAAGAUGCAGUGUACCCGCGGCAAGACGGAAAGACCCCGUGAACCUUUACUAUAGCUUGACACUGAACAUUGAGCCUUGAUGUGUAGGAUAGGUGGGAGGCUUUGAAGUGUGGACGCCAGUCUGCAUGGAGCCGACCUUGAAAUACCACCCUUUAAUGUUUGAUGUUCUAACGUGGACCCGUAAUCCGGGUUGCGGACAGUGUCUGGUGGGUAGUUUGACUGGGGCGGUCUCCUCCUAAAGAGUAACGGAGGAGCACGAAGGUUGGCUAAUCCUGGUCGGACAUCAGGAGGUUAGUGCAAUGGCAUAAGCCAGCUUGACUGCGAGCGUGACGGCGCGAGCAGGUGCGAAAGCAGGUCAUAGUGAUCCGGUGGUUCUGAAUGGAAGGGCCAUCGCUCAACGGAUAAAAGGUACUCCGGGGAUAACAGGCUGAUACCGCCCAAGAGUUCAUAUCGACGGCGGUGUUUGGCACCUCGAUGUCGGCUCAUCACAUCCUGGGGCUGAAGUAGGUCCCAAGGGUAUGGCUGUUCGCCAUUUAAAGUGGUACGCGAGCUGGGUUUAGAACGUCGUGAGACAGUUCGGUCCCUAUCUGCCGUGGGCGCUGGAGAACUGAGGGGGGCUGCUCCUAGUACGAGAGGACCGGAGUGGACGCAUCACUGGUGUUCGGGUUGUCAUGCCAAUGGCACUGCCCGGUAGCUAAAUGCGGAAGAGAUAAGUGCUGAAAGCAUCUAAGCACGAAACUUGCCCCGAGAUGAGUUCUCCCUGACUCCUUGAGAGUCCUGAAGGAACGUUGAAGACGACGACGUUGAUAGGCCGGGUGUGUAAGCGCAGCGAUGCGUUGAGCUAACCGGUACUAAUGAACCGUGAGGCUUAACCUU